UACGUAGGGGGCUAGCGUUGUUCGGAAUUACUGGGCGUAAAGCGCACGUAGGCGGGUCGUUAAGUCAGGGGUGAAAUCCCGGAGCUCAACUCCGGAACUGCCUUUGAUACUGGCGAUCUUGAGAUCGGAAGAGGUGAGUGGAAUUCCCAGUGUAGAGGUGAAAUUCGUAGAUAUUGGGAAGAACACCAGUGGCGAAGGCGGCUCACUGGUCCGAUACUGACGCUGAGGUGCGAAAGCGUGGGGAGCAAACAGG
rnacentral:rRNA from 1 species